UGACUCUUUGUCCCCUCCGCGCUUUGAUUAAUAGCGUGGAGGGGACAAAGAGUCAGG
ensembl:miRNA